rnacentral:rRNA from 1 species
GGGGGCAGCAAUGUCACCGGCGAACGGGUGCGUAACGCGUAUGCAACCUACCUACAUCAGGGGGAUAGCCCUAGGAAACUGGGAUUAACACCGCAUAACAAUAGAGUUGGCAUCAACUUUAUUUGAAAUAUUUAUAGGAUGUAGAUGGGCAUGCGUAGGAUUAGCUAGUUGGUAAGGUAACGGCUUACCAAGGCUACGAUCCUUAGGGGCUCUGAGAGGAGUAUCCCCCACACUGGCACUGAGAUACGGGCCAGACUCCUACGGGAGGCAGCAGUAGGGAAUAUUGGGCAAUGGAGGCAACUCUGACCCAGCCAUGCCGCGUGCAGGAAGACGGUCCUCUGGAUUGUAAACUGCUUUUGAAUGGGAAGAAUGUGUGGCUUGCGAGCUAUAAUGACGGUACCAUUAGAAUAAGCCACGGCUAACUACGUGCCAGCAGCCGCGGUAAUACGUAGGUGGCGAGCGUUAUCCGGAUUUAUUGGGUUUAAAGGGUGCGUAGGCGGCUUAAUAAGUCGGUGGUUAAAAGUAGCAGCUUAACUGUUUUACAUGCCAUCGAUACUGUUGAGCUUGAGAUAUUUGGAGGCAGCUAGAAUUUCCGGUGUAGCGGUGAAAUGCAUAGAUACCGGAAGGAAUACCAAUUGCGAAGGCAGGUUGCUACGAAUAAACUGACGCUGAUGCACGAAAGCGUGGGGAUCAAACAGGAUUAGAUACCCUGGUAGUCCACGCCGUAAACGAUGAUUACUAGUUGUUGGGGUUUAAGCUUCAGUGACCAAGGGAAACCGAUAAGUAAUCCACCUGGGGAGUACGCCGGCAACGGUGA